rnacentral:rRNA from 1 species
CCUACGGGAGGCAGCAGUGGGGAAUUUUGGACAAUGGGCGAAAGCCUGAUCCAGCCAUUCCGCGUGCAGGAUGAAGGCCCUCGGGUUGUAAACUGCUUUUGUACAGAACGAAAAGGUUUCUACUAAUACUAGGAGCUCAUGACGGUACUGUAAGAAUAAGCACCGGCUAACUACGUGCCAGCAGCCGCGGUAAUACGUAGGGUGCAAUCGUUAAUCGGAAUUACUGGGCGUAAAGCGUGCGCAGGCGGUUAUAUAAGUCAGAUGUGAAAUCCCCGGGCUCAACCUGGGAACUGCAUUUGAGACUGUAUAGCUAGAGUACGGUAGAGGGGGAUGGAAUUCCGCGUGUAGCAGUGAAAUGCGUAGAUAUGCGGAGGAACACCGAUGGCGAAGGCAAUCCCCUGGACCUGUACUGACGCUCAUGCACGAAAGCGUGGGGAGCAAACAGGAUUAGAUACCCUGGUAGUCCACGCCCUAAACGAUGUCAACUGGUUGUUGGGUCUUAACUGACUCAGUAACGAAGCUAACGCGUGAAGUUGACCGCCUGGGGAGUCGGCCGCAAGGUUGAAACUCAAAGNGUAGUGCGUGNGAGAGCGACGACGACGACGACGGAGGGAGGAGG